rnacentral:lncRNA from 1 species
AAUACCCUUUUGCGGUCUAGGGAGGGUUCUACUUCCUCGUGCUACCAUAGAAUCUGGAUAUAUUCAGAGAAUGGGCAUCGGCUGAGAACAUUGACUUCACAAUACUCAGAUCCUGGAUUUCCUCCAAGAAGGUCUGGACAAAGGCCCCUCCUUGGGACCUUCCUCUUGUUCUCAACUUCCUGACUGAUGAUCUGUUCGUUCCACUUGAAAAUUUGGAUACUACCCUUCUGACUUACAAGACUUUGUUUUUGGUGGCUAUUACUUCCACAAGAAGAAUUUUAGAGAUUAAAGCCUUUUCUACCAUGUCUUCCUGCCUACAGAUCUGUGAAGAAAAUAACCUUUUAAUUCGUGACUUUUAUGUUCGGUAGUUUAACCCCUUAAGGACCAAACUUCUGGAAUAAAAAGGAAUCAUGACAUGUCACACAUGUCACGUGUCCUUAAGGGGUUAAACUAUCGAACACCGACCACCCCCCUGGAUAAUUAUCUACAAAGGGAAACUGUAGAUAGAGCACGCUCUCUCUGGGUGGCCGCCGUUCGUAUAGCCGAACUCCACGUGUGGGAGAAAAUGGCGGCCAUCUUGUUUGCACGAAAGGAGGCAGCGGGACUUUGUCGUCGAGUGUCUGGAACUAAAAUCGGACACUCGACUUCCCGAACACCGGUAAAAACAUACGAACACCUGCUUUCUUUUCCUGAACAGCUAGGAGAGCGCUGUUCGGUAGUUUUGUUCCCACGACAUUGUCGAAAUAGACCGACUGCACAGCCUAAACUCAUGGAACUGUUUUGGGCAGGAGCCUCGUGUGCAGUCGGUCAAAUGUGACUUCCAUGAAAUUCGAAAACUCCUGAACUGAUCUGGGUGAUUUUUGGAUAUGUUGGUCACCCAGAUCAGGGCUAUCAGGAGAUGUGACAUUUAUGGGGGUCCUGUAUGUCUUGGGGUGUUUUCCAAGUAUUCUGGAAAAUCGUCUUCUCUCUGCCUGGAGAUAAUUAAGUUAUUACUUUAUCUGACCCAAUUAUCUCCAGGCAGAGAGGAGGGAAUUAACUGUUUUUACUGGGAGUGUCACUGUUUGUCCCUGCAUUGUCAUUGGCUGUAUUAAGUUAUGUCUCUGUUCCAUCAGGUCCAGGGGGUGUUCCUCUGGCGUGGAGAAUUGCAUAAAAGCCAGUGUGGCACAAUAAAGCUUCAUUCCUGUUGUACCCUUCAUGAAGUCUAGGCUCAUGUUUAGGUAGCUGUCUACUUGCUGGGGAGAAAGUACUUGAAUGCUGCAUUCGUCUGGAACUAUUCACAUCUACACCCGAACUGCAACUAUAAUCACUACGGCUUAGUAGUUCGGGAGGAAUAGGCGAACAAGGUACUUAAAAUACUAGUGUUCGUAACAAAAUCUAUCAGGAUAGGGUGUGUCUGAAACCAAAACCUAAGUUUCUUCCUAACGCGGUCUCUGUCUCAUCUCUCGCAAGUGGUCCUUCCAUCAUUCUAUCCCAAUCCAACUUCUAAUGAAUAAGUUAGGUGGCAACGUUUGGAUGUUAAGAACUGUCUGUGUCAAUACCUUUUUCGUUCUAAGUCAUACAGGAAGACUGACCAACUCUUCGUUCUACCUUCAGGAGCUAGGAGACGCGACGCAGCUUCUUUAUCUACGUUGAAAUGUUGGAUUUUGCUAAUAAUCAGGAAAGUGUCAGUCUAUAAAGGUCAGUCUCCUCCAAUAAAGAUAGGAACACAUUCUACCAGAGCAUUGUCAACUUCAUGGGCUAAUUGGGCAUAGAUUCCAUACAAUAUUUGCAGAGCAGCCACCUGGUCUUCCCCGAUGUUGUUCAUAAAACACUACAAACUGGACGUGGCCUUUCCUUCCACCUCUUUUGGGAAGUGUUCUGUCCACGGUUUCUUUAUCCCACCAAUAUUAACUUUCUUUGCAGCACGAGUGUCUGCAUAAUCUUUUUAUCGGUUUCUUUAUUCCCACCCUAUAUUUCUGUGAGCUUGGGUAUAACCCAUAAGUGAUGCUGCUAUGAUUAGCCAGGAAUCGAGAAAAUGUAUGACAAACUUACCAUAAUUUUCUUUUCCUGGCUAUUUCUCAUGUCAGCAUCAGGGUUCCCGUACAUGCCUUUAUUUUAUUUUUUUCCCCAGCUUUAUAAUUGGACUGUGGUGUAAGGGGAGGAGGUACUCUUUAUACCUAUCAGUCUAAUUAAUUCCUGUCCUGUGACUGCUAAGGGAGGAGCUACCCAUAAGUGAUGCUGCCAUGAGAAAUAGCCAAGAAAAGAAAAUUACUGUAAGUUUGCCAUAAAUUUCCUCUUACUCUUUAGGUUAGCAAGUUGCUAGUGACCACUUUUACUGCCAUGAUUAGCCUGGUUUUUCCAUAUUAAGAUAUACCCAAAAUGCGAUAAACCCAUGCAAGUAGAAAAUUAUCUUCAGUGUUCAUCUACAGGUAACAAUUAUUUGUUUGUCAUAUUUGUAUGUUAUUUCACUGUUGCCUCCAAUAUCACCUCCCCUAUAAAAUGUUUAAGCAUUUCUCGUAAAGUAGUCCCUGAAAAAGGAGUAACAGUUUCUUAUUCUUCUACUAUCUCCACAAAGGGGUUUAUUUUUUUAAUAUUCCAAAUUGCAACAUUAACCCCUUAAGACCG